AGCUUUGCGCAGUGGCAGUAACAUAGCUGAUGAGGUUCAUCCGAGGCGUGUUUAUUGCUAGUUGAAAACUAUACCCAAUACCCCGCCCUGGGGACGUAUAAACC
rnacentral:snRNA from 1 species